CUUCCCUCUGGCGGCGUGCCUAAUACCUGCAAGUCGAGCGAACAGACGAGGAGCUUGCUCCUCUGACGUUAGCGGCGGACGGGUGAGUAACACGUGGAUAACCUACCUAUAAGACUGGGAUAACUUCGGGAAACCGGAGCUAAUACCGGAUAAUAUAUUGAACCGCAUGGUUCAAUAGUGAAAGACGGUUUUGCUGUCACUUAUAGAUGGAUCCGCGCCGCAUUAGCUAGUUGGUAAGGUAACGGCUUACCAAGGCAACGAUGCGUAGCCGACCUGAGAGGGUGAUCGGCCACACUGGAACUGAGACACGGUCCAGACUCCUACGGGAGGCAGCAGUAGGGAAUCUUCCGCAAUGGGCGAAAGCCUGACGGAGCAACGCCGCGUGAGUGAUGAAGGUCUUCGGAUCGUAAAACUCUGUUAUUAGGGAAGAACAAAUGUGUAAGUAACUAUGCACGUCUUGACGGUACCUAAUCAGAAAGCCACGGCUAACUACGUG
rnacentral:rRNA from 1 species